AACGUAGGUUCCGAGCGUUAUCCAGAUUUACUGGGCGUAAAGCGCGUUCAGGCGGUUUGGCAAGUCGGGCAUGAAAUCCUUCGGCUCAACCGGGGGAGGUUGUCCGAUACUGCUGAACUGGAGGGCAGUAGAGGGUGGUGGAAUUCCGGGUGUAGUGGUGAAAUGCGUAGAGAUCCGGAGGAACACCAGUGGCGAAAGCGGCCACCUGGACUGCACCUGACGCUGAAACGCGAAAGCUAGGGGAGCGAACGGG
rnacentral:rRNA from 1 species